rnacentral:lncRNA from 10 species
CCUUCUCAGGUUCUGCUCCAGGGAACUGUACCCAAGACACUACCAGCAUCUGUCCCUCAAUGCCACACACCUGUCAUCCCACACAUCAAAAGGAAUCCCACGUAAUAGGAUACAAGCACAACUGCAAACACACUCACUGCCCCCGCCCCCUCCAACAAGGAGACAAAUGAAAAGUCCAUCACUCAUCCAGAGAAGACUUUUUAGAGCCACUGUUCUUGGAGCCUGUUACCUCUGGGGUGACAAGUGAAACUCCAUCUCAGAAAAAAAAAAUUGAUAAAGGAGGAAGGCUGAACAAAUCACCAAGAUCAUGUCGCAGAAACUGUUUGGAAACAGGCAAGGUGGAGGACUUCAGUGGAAGAAGGAAGGAACCCAGGCCCACCGGCAGCCCGGUAUUAUG